GGAUUACAGGCGUGAGCCACCGCACCCAGCCUCCUAACUGAUGUUUCAGUUUGGAUCUGAAGAACAGGAAUUUUCAUAAUUUCUUUUUCAAGGUUUUCGAAAAUUAGUUUGUUGCCAUUUCCGAACUUCCAUCCCAUUGUGAUGUGCAUAACCAGUCGGCUUCCUUAGCCUCAUCCUCCACCCAGAGAAGCUCCGACCAUGCCAGAACCAGGAAGGCCAGCCGGGGAGCAGCCUGGCCCAGGGGUCAGGAGCCGGGGCCUGUGUGGCCAGCACCUGGUGGAUGUGAGCCCCAGGACAGGGAGUUUCUGUGCCCAGGAGAUGGAAGCAGCUCACUUCUCCGCCCCUUUCAAGAAUCUGGGAAGAGCUCCAGGAGUCAGAGGUCUGGAUGCCAGUCCCAGCUCUGCUCCAAACUGGCCAUGUGACCUCAGCGAAGUUAUUUCCCAGCUUUGUUUUCUUCUUUUACAAAAUGACAGGGUGAGAGUCGUGAUUGGUUUCCUCGGUGUCAGAAGUGCAGGACACUGAACUCUGUUAGAAAGAGUCUCAGGUUGUUUUGUUUGACAGUGACUACCCACUUUGCAGAGACGUGGGCUGCUUGCUCUCUGGGGAAUACUGGAGGUUAUGCCCCAUCUCCUGUCCUGUGGGAGAACCCACCCUCCGAACGAGGCUCUGGUGAGGUUUUCACAAUCAGUAACAAGGAUGAUCUCCAUCGAUGGAAGUCUCCCUGUUUGAGAUGGGGUGCGUGCUCCCCACCCAGGCUCCUGAACAAAACCCACCUCCUUGUCUUGGCACCACUGAGAGUGCACACCGAGGGGGCUCUGGCACCAGAUUGUGGGAACGGUCAUGAGAAAGGAGCUCAGACUUCACACCCAGAGCCCUUGAUCCCUACACACUCAGUAUUCCUUCACAGCGCUCUUCCUGCUUCCUAGACAUGUGGAACUGCUUCUCCAUUGGGGAGGAUCCAUCCAGAGCCCUUUGGGUGGGUCCUCAGGGCAAUAGCUGCUGCCUCUUCCUUCUGCUCAGCGCUGGGAGGCUUUACACUCUCCCCAUAUGGCACAGAGCAGAACGUGCACCUUUGGCUCUGGAAGGAAUGAACAUCCUGCCCGUUAGUCAGCCCUGGGAGUCACUGACUCAGUUCUUCCCUGGUCACCAAUGUCCUACAGAGCACACAGAAAGCCACGGAAGUGUGGUCUGCGGCUUGAGGUGGGUAUUCAGAUGCCAGCCUGCAGCCCACUUACAUUGUUUCUUUUGGACUGACACCUUGCGGGAUGCUCGGAUGCCCACAGCGCAGGGGAAGGGACGGCCUAGAGUCCGAGAUGUGGGCGGGGAGCUGGCCCCUGUCCAUUGCCGCAGCUCUGCAGCAGCAGGACAGCCCUGGGAGGUGGAGAUGGACUCCGUUCAUUUGGAUAAGCAGAGGAAACUUGGCAGAAACGACCAAAUGCAAAAUACGUGUCGCAGCCUGAGAUCAGCCGUCUACUGAAACAAAGGAUGCAGUUCAGUCGGAAACCAUGCUUAGCUGUGUUGCUGUCUUUAGCCAUCAAGGCCCUGAGAACCAAUGAACAAUCCAGCUUGGCCGCUUAGAACAUUUUUUCUAUACUUGAGUUAAAUAGAUAUCCAAGAACCAUUACUCAUUUUUAAUGUGGAGAAGUCAGUAUUCUAUUCUCGUAUUCUAUGUUUUUUAAAGUGGCAAUUUGAAUUAUUUCGUGCAAUAGAAAACCUUAAACACAAAGUAACGUUUCUAACAAAAGGGCUGUCGAUCAAGUGACAAACACGUCCUACUUUAGAUACGAGCACGACUGAGGCAACAGCAUGAAAACGCCUAAAAUGGGCUGCUGGGGAGACAAGAUCUGGCCGCGAAUGGAACUCACAGCAGCUCAUUAACGGGACCGUCCGGCAGGAAGGUCUCAGGGCACUCUCGCCCCCACUCACUUUGAUGAAGCCAGUGCUGGGUCGCCUGCCGAGGUGGGGAGGCUCAUGGGCCAGGAACUGAAGACAGCUGUGAGAGCCAGACCGCUCCACCACCCCCAAGACAGCAGGGAACUCACUCCAACAGCCACCCUGGGAUGCUGCCACAGCUGAGCCUGGAGGUGACCAUGACCCUGGCUGACAUCGGACUGCAGCUUUGUAAGAGAGACUGAGCCGGGACCCAGACCUACAAAAGCUGAGAUGAUAAACACUGUUUUAAGCUGCUGUGUGUCGCAGCGACUCGUGUGGCAGUGGAUUUCUAGCAGAGCCGUCAUUCGUGUCUGGCUUCUCUCAGCUCAACACUCUGUAGAGCCACCCACGCUGCUGUGCAUGUCAGCAGUGGACUUUUUAUUGCUGAGUAAUAUUUCAUUCCAUUGCAUGCUCACACCUCACUUUGUUUAACUGUCUACCUGUUGAUGAGCUCGGGGACAUAUGCAGUUCUGGGCUAUUAUAAGUAAAGCUGCUUUUAACAUUUAAAUACAAGUCUGUGUAUGGACACAUGUUUUCAUUUCUUUUGAAUAAAUAUGUGUGGGAUUACUGGGU